AUGGGACCCCCUGCGGGAGUAGGGCCACAGCGAGGACAGCGAGGGGCAGGGGGCCGCCGCCCCACACAUGUGCCGACCCGGCCAGGAAACGGCCCUCCCUGCCCGGCUCGGCUUCGCAGGCCACACACACACUGCCAGACUCCGGGCCAGGGGCUCCCUGCGUCCCCAGCUCGGUCCCUGAGCAGGGGAGAGGCCGGCGGCCGCACCUGCUCGAGGCUCGGCUGUCACCCUCCGGAAUCUGCCACCUCAGUCUUGGAACCUGAUUUCUCUUUGGCGAAACUCACUGGGGAGCUGGAAUCCCCGCAGACGCAGAGGAGAAACGCGCGAGGAAGGGAACCCUUCGCAGGCGAGGUCUGGGCGCGCACACGCGGUGGCUCCCUGUGCAGUGAGGCGAGGUCUGGACGCACACACGCGGUGGCUCCGUGUGCCUCGGUUUCCUUAAUGACGGACGAGGAGCAGCACGCAGGACUGCAGCAGGGUGAGGCAGGGGCUGGGGGUUCGCGGCGUGUCCGUGCCUGCUUUGCCCCCUCCUGCACAGCCAGGGCCCUCGCCUUUGUGAGGAGAGAAGCCACCCUUUCCAGGGCCCCGGGUGGCAUGGAAACCGCGUGGCGCUGAGACAGGAGAAUCCCCUCUCCCGUGCACUGCGCCCGCGCCUCCUGCCUGGGUCCUGGGUCCCUCGCAGGCGUGCUGGUCUGCAGCGAUUCACCCCCGCCCUUGCUCUCUCUCCGCCUGCUCCUCUCCGUCUGUUUCCACAGAAAGCAAGGUCCUGCCCUGAAAGCAGAGGCCCCGCGUGUGCUUCCUGGGCCGGCUCCGGCACGUGUGCUGAGGACGUCGCUGUCCCAGGCGCCUGCCGCGUCUGUGCCUGCUGCGCGGGCCCGUCUGUGACUUCGCGCGCGUGCGGGCUGUCUCCCCACGCGUCACCCUGGGAAAACUUCGCGCGCGUGCGGGCUGUCUCCCCACGCGUCACCCUGGGAAGUGGCCCGCAGAGGGAAACGGGUGUCGCUGGCAGAGCCCGGGCGCUGGGCGCGGAGCCGCGCACGGCUUGCUCUUCGCUCCGUGGAUUCUUCCCAAGACCCCGUGCAGCCCCUCCCACUGCUGCGGGGCCGCUCGGCCCAGGCCCGUGAGAGCAGGCACGGGAUUGCCCGCUCCCGCGGAGCUCUGGGGUCUUCCACGGCUGUCAGCAGACAGCGGUUAGCCAGCCUGUCUUCAGUGCGCAAGCCCACCCCCUUCCUAGCCCCCAGAAUGAAGUGGACGCAGCAGGACGACGAGGGGGAAUGGGCGUUGGCUCUCGGGUUCACUCCGCCCCCCAGAGCUGCCCCUCAGCCGAGCGAGGGCCGCGCCCGCAGAGCGAGCCGGGUCCGCGGAGCUGCCUCCAGCAGCCAGGCAGAGCUUGGGCCCCAGACAUUGCUGCUGGACGAUUAGCUUCGGAGGGACACACUUUCUGAAAAGCAGCCUGGUGGCUUCCCUCUCCUGAGGGCGCCUCCCCAGGCUUGCUGUGGUCCAGCAGCGCCUCCCAGCGGCCGCAGCCCUGCACUGCAGCAUCUGUCGCUGGCCGAGCCCGCGAGGGGACUUGGACCCAGACCGCCUGGAUGGCCAGGAGACACGGGGCGGCCGG
rnacentral:lncRNA from 1 species